rnacentral:rRNA from 1 species
GUCAUAUGCUUGUCUCAAAGAUUAAGCCAUGCAUGUCUCAGUACAAGCCGAAUUAAGGUGAAACCGCGAAAGGCUCAUUAAAUCAGUUAUGGUUCCUUAGAUCGUACCCACAAUUACUUGGAUAACUGUGGUAAUUCUAGAGCUAAUACAUGCAAACAGAGCUCCGACCGGAGACGGAAGGAGUGCUUUUAUUAGAUCAAAACCAAUCGGUGGCGGGCUCGCUCGUCAUCGUACAACUUGGUGAUUCUGAAUAACUUUACGCUGAUCGCACGGUCAUCGCACCGGCGACGCAUCUUUCAAAUGUCUGCCUUAUCAACUGUCGAUGGUAGGUUCUGCGCCUACCAUGGUUGUAACGGGUAACGGGGAAUCAGGGUUCGAUUCCGGAGAGGGAGCCUGAGAAACGGCUACCACAUCCAAGGAAGGCAGCAGGCGCGCAAAUUACCCACUCCCGGCACGGGGAGGUAGUGACGAAAAAUAACGAUACGGGACUCAUCCGAGGCCCCGUAAUCGGAAUGAGUACACUCUAAACCCUUUAACGAGGAUCAAUUGGAGGGCAAGUCUGGUGCCAGCAGCCGCGG